GCUCCAGUGGUGAAGUGGCUAUCAUCCCUGUCUGUCGAACAGGAGUAGAGGGGUCGGAACCCUUCUGGAGCGCCA
rnacentral:tRNA from 1 species